UACGAAGGGGGCUAGCGUUGCUCGGAAUCACUGGGCUUAAAGGGCGCGUAGGCGGGCCAUCAAGUCAGGGGUGAAAGCCCCCAGCUCAACUGGGGAAGUGCCUCUGAUACUGGUGGCCUCGAGGGAGGUAGGGGCGUGCGGAACUUCCGGUGGAGCGGUGAAAUGCGUAGAUAUCGGAAGGAACACCGGUGGCGAAAGCGGCGCGCUGGACCUCUUCUGACGCUGAGGCGCGAAAGCCAGGGGAGCGAACGGG
rnacentral:rRNA from 1 species